rnacentral:rRNA from 1 species
GACGAACCGAGCGACCGUUGUUCGGAAUCACUGGGCUUAAAGGGCGCGUAGGCGGGCGAUCAAGUCAGGGGUGAAAGCCCCCAGCUCAACUGGGGAAGUGCCUCUGAUACUGAUCGUCUCGAGGGGGAUAGGGGCGUGCGGAACUCCCGGUGGAGCGGUGAAAUGCGUAGAUAUCGGAAGGAACACCGGUGGCGAAAGCGGCGCGCUGGAUCCCUUCUGACGCUGAGGCGCGAAAGCGUGGGGAGCGAACAGG